AUUGAUUAACUCAUGAUUAACUUAUAUGUGGUUAAUAUUUUGGAUAAAAUUUAAUAGAAGAAAAGUUGAACGAUGAAUAUUAUUAGUGCUAAAAUAAUUCUUUUUUUCUGAUUGGUUAACUGCAUAAGGUGAUUGAAAGAAAGUUGAAGAAGGAUUAUAAUUGGUUUAAAAUUUAGGAAUGACUUCUGAUUAAUCCUAAAAUAAUUUCUAUUUUUUGAUUGGUUAACCGCAUAUAGUGGUAAAAGGAAGGUUGAAGAAUUAAUAUGAUUCGUCUAAAAAUUAGGAAUGACCUCUGAUUGGUCCUAAAAUAAUUCUUCUUUUCUGAUUGGUUAACUGCAUAUUCCUAUUUUCUGAUUGGUUAAGUGCAUAUAGUGGUAAAAAGAAAGUUGGAGAAUGAAUAUGAUUGGUCUAAAAUUUAGAAAUCACUUCUGAUUGUGCCUAAAACUCUGAUUGGUUAACUGCAUAUCUGGUUAGACUCAGGUAUUAUAGGAUAGGACAGGAUAUGAUUCGUUAUUUGAUAAAAAAAAUAAAAUUUAUAUAUUUUUGACUAGAAAUAGGUUGUUUUUAGAAAGUAGGACACCGUUUCACCCAAAUCAACAACUGUCCCCAUGUCGAUUCCGUCGCAAUCAGACGCCGAGAACGAGGCAGAACAACAGCCCGACUCGCAAAAUUCUCUUCCACCUUCUCAUCAUCCUAAUGCACCUCCCGACGAGCUAUUUGACGUCUUGACAACGGUUGAUCCUAGUUAUGUGAUAUCCUUGAUACGGAAACUUUUACCUCCCAGAACUACUAGUAGUGUUGUUACUUGUGAAAAUGGGGAUAAGACGUGUGAUACGGUGGUGUUAGAGGCGGAAGGGGAAUGUAUGGAAGAAGGUGGAUCGUUGAGGCAGGAAAAUGAAGUGCAGGACGUGUGUAAUGAUGAACAUGAAUCCAUGGAAACAGUAAAUGCAUUUGGUGAGGCAGGUGGUCCAGGUGCAAGUGAUGAGAGGUUGUCCGAGCAAGAUAAACAUGAGGUUGCAUUAGUGGGCGAAAAAGCUUGGGAAGAGUAUGGAUGUAUUUUGUGGGACCUUGCUGCGAAUAGAACACAUGCUGAACUUAUGGUCCAGAACCUAAUUCUUGAAGUUCUUCUGGCCAACCUAUUGGUUUCCCAAUCUGCACGUGUUACUGAGAUAAGCCUUGGGAUUAUUGGAAACCUUGCUUGCCAUGAAAUUCUGCAGAAUAAUAUAUCCAAGACAGAGGGAUUGAUAGAAAUAAUUGUUGAUAAGUUGUUUUUAGAUGACAUCCCAUGCCUAUCUGAAGCUUGCAGGUUACUGACUUUGUGUUUACAAGGUAUUGAAGGUCUUCCAUGGGCUGAGGCAAUACAACCUGAAAAUGUUAUAUCCCGCAUUUUAUGGAUUGCAGAAAACUCCUUGAAUCCACAGCUUAUAGAAAAGAGUGUAGGUUUAUUGUUAUCUGUAUUAGAAUGUCAGACGGAAGUUCAAUCUCUUCUGCUACCUGGAUUAAUGAAUUUGGGUCUUCCCAGAAUUCUUAUGAAUUUGUUGGCUUUUGAAAUGAGCAAAUUAAUGGGAGAACGGGUACCUGAAAGGUAUCCUGUUAUUGACUUGUUACUACGGACAGCUGAAGCCCUUUCUGUUGCUGAUGAUUAUUCACAAGAACUUUGUUCAAGUAAGGAGCUAUUCCGUCUGCUCAUUGACUUGAUCAAACUUCCUGAUAAGAUCGAGGUUGCUAAUUGUUGUGUUACUGCUGCUAUUUUGAUGGCCAAUAUGCUUACUGAUGCAGUGGGCUUAGUCAUGGAGAUAUCACAGGAUUUGCUGUUCUUAGGGUGUUUGCUUGAUUUAUUUUCCUUUGCUUCGGAUGAUGCUGAGGCACGAAAAGCAAUAUGGAGCAUUAUAUCAGUAUUGCUGCAGUUUCAAGAUGUUGAAGUGACCCCAUCAAUUCUGCAGCAGCAUGUUUCAGUUUUAGUAAUUAAUUCAGAUCUCAUCAAAGAGGAACUCUUUGACCAUGAGCUUGAGGACUCGAACAUAAAUCACGAGAGCUUGACUAAUCACGCUGUACUAAAUCCCAGAACUACCGCACUAAGAAGAAUCUGUAAUCUUAUAAGCCGAUGGAGAACGUUGAAGGAUCAUGGCAACGGAAACGGUAUCACAGAAAAAGAUUAUGAUGAUAAAGAUGUUGACAAAUUGCUGGAGUGCUGCUAUAGAUUUGCCAAGUGAGAUGAUCAAGAUGUUGACAAAUUGCUGGAGUGCUGCUAUAGAUUUGCCAAGUGAGAUGAUCAUAUCGUUCUCCAAAACGGAGAAUGGAGUUUCCUGUUCUUUGCAUCUGAAAGAAAAAAAAUAUGACUUUCACCUCCUCCAUUCUAGCUCAAUUCAAGUACCCUUCAUGAGCAGCACGGCAAAAUAAUUUAUCAGCGUGUUUGAUGGUUUUAAAGUGCUGAAGCUUCCUUAUAAACAUGGUUCCAACCAAAUUUUGGAAGGAACUCCUGCGUGUUGCAUGUACAUAGGUGGUUUCCUUGACAGACAUGUUCCAUAUAAGAGGGUGAAUCUUGGAGAAUUUAAGAUUCCAAAAUUUAAAUUUGAGUAUGAAAUUGAAGUAUCACAAGCAUUACAGAGUCUAGGUCUGGUCUUGCCCUUUGAUCUGAUGGCUUUGGCCUCAGGAAGAUGGUGUAUGAUCAUCCUCUCUGCGUCUCCAGGAUGUUCCAUAAAUCUUUAAUUGAAAAACAUUACUGAACUCAUAGCUACUUCAAGUAGUUGGUAUGCGGAAAAACAGAAGAUCAGGAUUAACUUUGUUGCAGAACACCCAUUUUUGUACGUCAUUAAAGAAAACAAACCGUAACUGUGCAGUUCAUUGGACAUGUGCUUAAUCCUUCGAAGGCUUGAAUUGCUAGUCUUAGUUUUCGAGCUCAUAAUCCUUAGCUACUCAGAUAAUCGGGUAAAUUUCUGUCUGAUAUCUAUUCCUCACAUCCAAGGCAUCUUAUUAUUUUAGAAAGAGAUGAUUUACUUAUUUCUGUUA